AUCCUGUUAAAUUGAUUAUAGUGGUACAUGGCGCAGGUGGGGGUGCCAACCACACCUGGCCGCAUAUGGUCCACGCGUACCUCAACGAACAGCCAGACAGAUAGACGGACACAUGGUCCGGUCCACCUGUUCGCCGUUAUCAUCCCCAUCAUAUCAUCUCAGCACACGUGAGGUCCCUACCUCAGUGUCCCAGUCCUCCACGUUAUCAUCCCCAUCAUAUCAUCUCAGCACAUGUGAGGUCCCUACCUCAGUGUCCCAGUCAGUAAGUGUGUAUCAUCCCCAUCAUAUCAUCUCAGCACAUGUGAGGUCCCUACCUCAGUGUCCCAGUCAGUAAGUGUGUAUCAUCCCCAUCAUAUCAUCUCAGCACAUGUGAGGUCCCUACAUCAGUGUCCCAGUCCUCCACGUUAUCAUCCCCAUCAUAUCAUCUCAGCACAUGUGAAGUCCCUACCUCAGUGUCCCAGUCAGUAAGUGUGUAUCAUCCCCAUC
ensembl:lncRNA